GACGAACCGUGCGAACGUUGUUCGGAAUCACUGGGCUUAAAGGGCGCGUAGGCGGGCGGUCAAGUCUGUGGUGAAACCCUUCGGCUCAACCGGAGAAAAGCUGGAGAUACUGGCCGUCUCGAGGGGGGUAGGGGCAUGUGGAACUUCCGGUGGAGCGGUGAAAUGCGUAGAUAUCGGAAGGAACGCCGGUGGCGAAAGCGACGUGCUGGACCCUUUCUGACGCUGAGGCGCGAAAGCCAGGGGAGCAAACGGG
rnacentral:rRNA from 1 species